AUUAAUUCAAAGACCUGUGUUGUAAAGGACUUGUGUAUCUCAUAAUUGUGUGUUAAUUUUGCAAAGUCCCUGAGAGGCAUGAUUCUCUGAGCCCUCUGGAUCUCCUCAGGUUUGGUGUUAUCAGUUGUCUCUACAGUCAUUGCAUUGUUGUUACAUACUCCUAUUGCCCCUGGGUAUUAAGAGAUUAGCUGUCUCUGAGCCCUUGUCCAUGUUACUAUUGUCAGUCAAGUUUUCUUUUGUCACCUCCCUAGCCACUGUUUCUGUUGGUUUUCCCAUAUUUUCUUUCUUUUUUAGCAUGUAUUCCUGGCAUAUUUCUGUCAGUAUAGGGAUCUGUGUAAAUGGUGCCUGUUGUCCAGCACUAAGGUGUUCACUGCCUUCUUGUGCAGUAUGAUUCUGGCCUCUGACUUGAUGUAAUUUACUACCUGUCCAAAAGUAAUGAGGGCUACAUAAACCUGAGAGAGAGUUUGCCAGAGAGUUGAAAAUUCUAAUGGUAUCUUGUUCCAAUAGUUAGUCAUAUUGAAAAUGCUUCCUAUAGUGUCAUGUAUCAUGACUGCUAUAGUGUUGUAUAUAAAGCAGCAUCCCCUAUAAUAUAUCAUUAUAGCUCCCAUCAACAUUAUCCAGAACAUUAUCUGAAGCAUUGCUUUUCUUUUCUCAACUAUCCCUGUUCUUGUUUGGUGUUUUCCCUUACUAGAAUCAAGAUGUCUGAUUCUAAGUAACUGCCUCAGUGCUCCUUCUCAAGAUGGCUUCCCUACCCAGGGAACUCCCAACUGUCAACAGAUGGCAGUUGAAAAUGGCUUCUGUCAGACCUCUGGGGUGCCACCUGUAAUAAAGGGGUUUUUUAUGUGCGGAGAGAGGAGAGGGAGAGAAUGGAGUCUUCCCUCCCUCAAGACAAGAGGGAGGAGGAGUUGAUGUUGGUUUUGGACCAAGAGGUAGAAGGAGGACCAUGCUCACUCAAGUGUCCUGGGGGAAUGUGAAGACUGUCCCAUUUUCCAGAUGAGGACAUGGAGCAUCAUGGAUAUUAUCCUCUCUACAAGAUCUCAGAAAACUGAAAAUUGGGAUACCUUCAGACUUCAAAGAAGCUUCCAAGACAAACAGAAGAUAUAUAUUUUCACCAGAAUAUUGAUGCUAAAAAGGUGGUCAUUUGCAACAAGGAGCAGCUUGGGAUCAUUGGAAAGGCUGUACAAUUUCCAGAAUUUAAUCUAG
rnacentral:lncRNA from 1 species